GUUGACCUCGGAUCAGGUAGGGAUACCCGUGCGCUUCUCGAGGCUUUUGGCGGAUCGGCGUCCAUCAAGUCACACCCACAGUUGACCUCGGAUCAGGUAGGGAUACCCG
rnacentral:rRNA from 1 species